GACGAACGCUGGCGGCGUGCUUAACACAUGCAAGUCGAACGGUAAGGCCCCAGCUUGCUGGGGUACACGAGUGGCGAACGGGUGAGUAACACGUGGGUGACCUGCCCCGCACUUCGGGAUAAGCCUGGGAAACUGGGUCUAAUACCGGAUAGGACCGCACCGUGAGGGUGUGGUGGAAAGUUUUUCGGUGUGGGAUGGGCCCGCGGCCUAUCAGCUUGUUGGUGGGGUAAUGGCCUACCAAGGCGGCGACGGGUAGCCGGCCUGAGAGGGUGGACGGCCACAUUGGGACUGAGACACGGCCCAGACUCCUACGGGAGGCAGCAGUGGGGAAUAGUGCACAAUGGGCGGAAGCCUGAUGCAGCGACGCCGCGUGGGGGAUGACGGCCUUCGGGUUGUAAACUCCUUUCACCAUCGACGAAGGUUUUCUGACGGUAGAUGGAGAAGAAGCACCGGCUAACUACGUG
rnacentral:rRNA from 1 species